rnacentral:RNase_P_RNA from 1 species
GAAGCUGAUUAGACAAUCGCCGCCUUGCAUCUUGAGGGGGAGGAAAGUCCGGGCUCCAUAGAGCAGGAUGCCGGUUAAUGGCCGGCCGCCGUGAGGUGAGGAACAGGGCCACAGAGACGAGUAUGCCGAAAGGCGGACGUGAAACGCGGUAACCUCCAUCCGGAGCAAGGCCAAAUAGGCAGGCUGUGACGUUGCUCGCUGAGCCUGCGGGUAGGCUGCUUGAAUGUACGGGUAACCGUGCAUCUAGAGGAAUGAUUGUCCACGACAGAACCCGGCUUAUCGAUCAGCUUCACUU